rnacentral:lncRNA from 1 species
UUCUUAAAGUUGGUGCAGUAAAGACUUUUAUCAGUAUUAACAGACAUGUUGCUCUAGAAGAAACUGGAAAUCGGUGUUGGCACACACAUGUUCUCAAGAACUCCCCAUGCAUGAGCUUUUUAUGGAAGUAAAUUCUACUUUCUAAAUUUUGGUGCUCUCUCACUGCAAUUUUCUACUGACAUGAGGCUAAAAUGAUGUACUUAGUAUGAAGAAGUAAAAAGCAAUGAAAAAUUGAGCGCCAUGAAAGAACAGACCGUGCAAAUUCGACUGUCAUGAAACUAAUGGCUGUCAUGAAUGGAGACAAUUGAGUCAUCUUCGGUAAAAGGGUGUAUGAGGCUUGCAAUGCUGCUAAGAUGUGCAAUUUUUUAGUGUUUGGGCUGAUGAGAGCAGAUUCAGGAGAAAACCACAGCAGAACUGAUGGAUAAGCUACUUACAACUAGGGAACUACGUUGCACAAUCUUAGCAGCAUUGGAAGUCUUAAUACGCCCUUCGGAUGGAUGCGGAUAGAUGCUUCAAUUGUUUGUAAGUCAGGUUUUUAAGUACAUAAAUUGAUCAUGUAUUUUUUGUUUUUUUCAGAUGGUGAAGCAAGGUCUUCUGUUGAUUGAUGACUCCUAAACCAAAGAUUUUGAUAAGUUCCUGUGCCUGUCUGAUAAGUUCGAUGUUACUGUCAUCAGUAAAUCUGGUCUGAAACUAGAAGAUGUUGAUGAAGACAUGCUGAAAGCCACAGAAUUUUUUAGUCAAGUUGUUCUUCAUGUUGCCACCAAUAAUAUUCCAGUUGAUUCUGCUGAUGUCAUUAAGGAAAAGUCACAAAAUCUUGUCAACCAAAUUCUAAGGAAGAACUCAUCAAUUCAGAUUUAUAUUUCCGGCAUCUUACCCAGAGGACAGAACUGUUUCAUCAAAAACGAUGAUUCUAUUGGUGUCAAAGCAAUUAACUUGCUAGUCGUUAAGUCUGUCAAUGAGACUUCGCAAAAACUGCAUACAAUGUAAGUAGAAUGUAUUAAUGUUGGUCCUUUUUAUUGAUGGUCAGUUGUUCUGCUAACUCUAAAAAUUGAUUUUCUGGCAAUUAAAGAAGCAGGUACAUU